rnacentral:rRNA from 1 species
UACAGAGGGUGCGAACGUUGCUCGGAAUUAUUGGGCGUAAAGCGCAUGUAGGCGGCAUGGUAAGUUCAUCGUGAAAGCCCUUGGCUCAACCAAGGAAGUGCGGUGAAAACUGCCAAGCUAGAGUCCUGAAGAGGGUGGCGGAAUGGCCAGUGUAGAGGUGAAAUUCGUAGAUAUUGGCUAGAACACCAGUGGCGAAGGCGGCCACCUAGGAAGGUACUGACGCUGAGAUGCGAAAGCGUGGGGAGCAAACAGG